AGUGAACGCUGGCGGUAGGCCUAACACAUGCAAGUCGAACGGCAGCACAGUAAGAGCUUGCUCUUACGGGUGGCGAGUGGCGGACGGGUGAGGAAUACAUCGGAAUCUACUUUUUCGUGGGGGAGAACGUAGGGAAACUUACGCUAAUACCUCAUACGACCUACGGGUGAAAGCAGGGGAUCUUCGGACCUUGCGCGAUUGAAUGAGCCGAUGUCGGAUUAGCUAGUUGGCGGGGUAAAGGCCCACCAAGGCGACGAUCCGUAGCUGGUCUGAGAGGAUGAUCAGCCACACUGGAACUGAGACACGGUCCAGACUCCUACGGGAGGCAGCAGUGGGGAAUAUUGGACAAUGGGCGCAAGCCUGAUCCAGCCAUACCGCGUGGGUGAAGAAGGCCUUCGGGUUGUAAAGCCCUUUUGUUGGGAAAGAAAAGCAGCAGGUUAAUACCCCGCUGUUCUGACGGUACCCAAAGAAUAAGCACCGGCUAACUUCGUG
rnacentral:rRNA from 1 species